rnacentral:rRNA from 1 species
GACGAACGCUGGCGGCGUGCCUAAUACAUGCAAGUCGAACGAGGGCGACCAGUUCUUGCACUGGUCAAUCGAGUGACGAACGAGUGAGUCACACGUGGGUAACCCGUACCUCAGAGGGAGAUAAGAUCCGGAAACUGUUGCUAAAACCACAUACGUCUUCGAAACGCAGGGUUUUGAGAGGAAAAAACGCUCAUGCUUCUGCUGAUGGACUGUCCGGCGGUGCGUUAGGUAAUGGCUGAGGUAACGGCCCACCAAGGCCGUGAUGCAUAGCCGAACUGAGAGAGUGAUCGGCGGCAUUGGGACUGAAACACGGACCAAGCGCCUAAGGGAGGGACCAGUAGGGAAUCUUCCGCAAUGGACGCAAGUCUUACGGAGCAACGCCGAGUGAGAGAAGACGGUUUUCGGUGCGUAAAAACCUGUUGUUGGAUAAGAACCAGUGCCAGAAUAACUGUUAGCGACUUGACGGUAUCUACCCAGAAAGCCACGGCUAACUACGUG